CCUACGGGAGGCAGCAGUGGGGAAUAUUGCACAAUGGGGGAAACCCUGAUGCAGCAACGCCGCGUGAGUGAAGAAGUUUUUCGGUAUGUAAAGCUCUAUCAGCAGGGAAGAAAAUGACGGUACCUGCUUAAGAAGCACCGGCUACCUACGUGCCAGCAGCCGCGGUAAUACGUAGGGGGCAAGCGUUAUCCGGAUUGAUUGGGUGUAAAGGGAGCGUAGACGGCAGAACAAGUCUGGAGUGAAAUGCAGGGGCUUAACCCCGGAACUGCAUUGGAAACUGUGAGGCUAGAGUGUAGGAGGGGUAAGUGGAAUUCCUGGUGUAGCGGUGAAAUGCGUAGAUAUUAGGAGGAACACCAGUGGCGAAGGCGACUUACUGGACUGUAACUGACGCUGAGGCUCGAAAGCGUGGGGAGCAAACAGGAUUAGAUACCCGGGUAGUC
rnacentral:rRNA from 1 species